rnacentral:sRNA from 2 species
CCCUGUGAGUCCGCAAUUCACUCCAACUGCCGUACUGCGCAUAUUUGCUUCCUAUUACAAUAUAAAAUGUCCUGCUCCUUUUCUGGAUGUUAACAUCAUUUCCAACAAAUCGAGACUAACUAGAUUCCGCAGCAAGACCCGGUGGUGAACAAAGACUUUGACAGCUUCGUUCGUUUUGUAUUGCCAUGCUACAGUGUGGCAGAGAUCAUGUCAGAAACGAAAAUGCGUUUGGAGGACUGGUUGGAUGACUUAUGUGUCCGUUUCAUUAUAAACCUUCCACGAGAAGAGUUGGAGUCUGUUGAGCGUAUUUGUUUUCAAGUCGAGGAGGCGCAAUGGUUCUACGAAGAUUUCAUUCGUCCUCUUGACCCGAAUCUCCCGUCCCUCAGUUUGCGCGCCUUCGCCUUACGUAUCUUCCAACAUUGCCCUCUGAUGUCGCAAUGGUCUCAUUAUCAUCACUCAACUGCGUUUUCUGAAUUUUUAGCAUAUAAGACUCGUGUUCCUGUGCGCGGUGCCAUUUUGCUCAAUCAGGACAUGGACGAAGUGGUUCUGGUGAAGGGCUGGAAGAAGAAUGCGAAUUGGAGCUUUCCCCGUGGCAAGAUCAAUAAGGACGAGAAGGACUUGGAUUGUGCAAUUCGAGAAGUCUACGAAGAGACUGGUUUUGAUAUCAAAGCUGCGGGUCUUGUGAAGGAUGAAAA